AUCUUUCUAGUAUUAAUUUAGUACAAGUGACUUCCAAUCACACAGUCUUGGAUAAACCCCAGGGAAAGAUA
rnacentral:tRNA from 1 species